rnacentral:rRNA from 1 species
GCCAGACUCCUACGGGAGGCAGCAGUGAGGAAUAUUGGUCAAUGGGCGAGAGCCUGAACCAGCCAAGUCGCGUGAGGGAAGACGGUCCUAUGGAUUGUAAACCUCUUUUGCCGGGGAGCAAAAAGCGGUACGUGUACCGCAUCGAGAGUACCCGGAGAAAAAGCAUCGGCUAACUCCGUGCCAGCAGCCGCGGUAAUACGGAGGAUGCGAGCGUUAUCCGGAUUUAUUGGGUUUAAAGGGUGCGCAGGCGGCGAGUUAAGUCAGCGGUAAAAUUUCGGGGCUCACCCCCGGCCUGCCGUUGAAACUGGUCUUCUUGAGUGAGCGAGAAGUAUGCGGAAUGCGUGGUGUAGCGGUGAAAUGCAUAGAUAUCACGCAGAACUCCGAUUGCGAAGGCAGCAUACCGGCGCUCAACUGACGCUGAGGCACGAAAGCGUGGGGAUCGAACAGGAUUAGAUACCCGCGUA